rnacentral:rRNA from 1 species
UGACCUGCCCAAGAGACUGGGAUAACACCUGGAAACAGAUGCUAAUACCGGAUAACAACACUAGACGCAUGUCUAGAGUUUAAAAGAUGGUUCUGCUAUCACUCUUGGAUGGACCUGCGGUGCAUUAGCUAGUUGGUAAGGUAACGGCUUACCAAGGCAAUGAUGCAUAGCCGAGUUGAGAGACUGAUCGGCCACAUUGGGACUGAGACACGGCCCAAACUCCUACGGAAGGCAGCAG